UACAGAGGGGGCAAGCGUUGUUCGGAAUUACUGGGCGUAAAGGGCGCGUAGGCGGCCUGUUAAGUCGAACGUGAAAUCCCCGGGCUCAACCCGGGAACUGCGUCCGAUACUGGCAGGCUUGAAUCCGGGAGAGGGAUGCAGAAUUCCAGGUGUAGCGGUGAAAUGCGUAGAUAUCUGGAGGAAUACCGGUGGCGAAGGCGGAUCUCUGGGCCAUUACUGACGCUGAGGAGCGAAAGCGUGGGGAGCGAACAGG
rnacentral:rRNA from 1 species